GAUGAACGCUAGCGGCAGGCUUAACACAUACAAGUCGAGGGGUAUUUAUCUUCGGAUAGAGAGACCGGCGCACGGGUGCGUAACGCGUAUGCAAUCUACCUUUUACAGAGGGAUAGCCCAGAGAAAUUUGGAUUAAUACCUCAUAGUAUGUAGACUCGGCAUCGAGAUUAUAUUAAAGUCACAACGGUAAAAGAUGAGCAUGCGUCCCAUUAGCUAGUUGGUAAGGUAACGGCUUACCAAGGCUACGAUGGGUAGGGGUCCUGAGAGGGAGAUCCCCCACACUGGUACUGAGACACGGACCAGACUCCUACGGGAGGCAGCAGUGAGGAAUAUUGGACAAUGGGCGCAAGCCUGAUCCAGCCAUGCCGCGUGCAGGAUGACGGUCCUAUGGAUUGUAAACUGCUUUUAUACGAGAAGAAACACUGCUACGUGUAGCAGCUUGACGGUAUCGUAAGAAUAAGGAUCGGCUAAUUCCGUG
rnacentral:rRNA from 1 species